UUAUAACUCAUCGACAGAUGAUUCCUUGUCUUCCAUUCCAUUAACAGCAUUUUCGUUUGCGCUGUUUUGGGUGUUGAGUAAAGACUGCUUGAGUUGAUCAGGGGAGCACGCAGCAGGGCUCUUCAUUUUGAUUAAAUACUCACAUUUCUGAGCCUCCAGUACACUAACAAUCUCAUUUUCUACUCCACAUUCAACAGUAACAAUGGCAGAUCUAUGAGGACCAUUCCAGCAACUUUGACCAUUUUCAUACUUUAGAACAUUUCCUUCCUGCGAGGCAAAAUUUCUAGAGUUGUUAGCAAACACAUACCAAAGCAAAUCUACACCUACCCUAAUAGAAUGGAAUCUUGAAAAACAUUUUCGUAAAACACCACCUUGUAUGUAUAGCCACCAAUUUCACGUUUUGUUUCCAUUCCCUUGAUAGCUCUGUACAAAUCCCACCCAUGGUGGUAUUCCAAUUCAUGCAUAAGUUUUGUGUGUUCCUUUUCAAGACUCUUUUCGUUUUCUUCAGCAGCAUCUAGGUCACGUUGAGCUGCUUCAAAACGGCGAUCUUAAUGAAUUAGUAAUUGGUAAUCAACUAACAAUCAACGAAAAUAACAUACAUGAUUCACUGUCAGUCAAAGGAGUUGAGGAGGCAGAUGGACUUAAUAUUCCAAAAUUGAUAAGUGAGAGUUUGAU